rnacentral:lncRNA from 1 species
GGGUGGGAAGUUAGGGCUCAAGCUUUUCCUCUUCUCUUGCAGCUACCUCCAUCAUUGUUUCUUCUGCAGCUGAAUAGGCUGGCAGGCAGCCUGAAAUGGGGACCUGCUCAGAAGACCCCCACCCCUGCUGGGCAUCCCGGCUCCUCGGACUCAUCAGUCUCUUUCUCAGCGUCUGCAGCAGUGGGACCAAUAGUGAUGGAGGUCCUGGUCCUGGAGUUCAGGAUUCUGGAGCUCCUGAUCCUCUGCAGGGGAUCCGAGGAGGUUCUGUGCUGUUUCCUUUGCCCAAGAAGCAAGACGCUGAGCCGGAGGAGGUUGCGUGGGGCUUUGGUCCUGGGUCAGAGUACAGAGUCCUGCUGCGAGUCCGUCCUGGGGAAGCACCAAUAUGGGUGAGCCUCCAGGACAGGUACCAGCAGAGGAUCCAUGUGCCCAACAUGACAUCCCUGAAGAUUGAGAACCUGACCUCCGAGGACAGUGGGCUGUACCGGGCUCGAGGCAUCUUCACUGGAGGAGUAGAAUUUACCCAUGUUUUCCACCUCACUGUCUAUGAGCCUAUACCCAGUCCUGAGAUUCUGGCUGGGCCACGAUCCAUCACACCAGGCUGGUGCAAUGUCACCCUGGAGUGUGGGCCCAGAGGAGCCACAAAGGACCUGAAUGUGACCUGGAAGAGGGAGUACGCCUCUGAGAAGGUGGAGCAGACAGGGACACUGGGACCUGCCUCAAACUCCCACACCCUGGCUGUGAGGCUGCCCCUGAGGCAGCCCUACUCCAGUAUCACCUGCGUGGUCAGCAACCAGAUGGACCAGAAAACUGCUACCGUAGGUCUUGGGGAAGUCUGUGCCCAUGGUGAGUGCAACCUACCAGAGGGGAGGGCACUUUUAGAGCUCAGAUAGUACUGGGGUCUAAGAGCUCAGGGUUUUCUUUCUGCCCUUUUAUUACCACUACAUUCCACCUGGUCACUCCAUACAGGAGACUGAGACAUAAGUUCAACUUAUUUUGCUCUUGAAUGUCUCUCACAUCCAUGAUCUACUCUAACCCCCUUUCCCUGGCUAGCCUUCCAAUACUUCUCCCUCCUCCCAUUCAGUGUUCAUUGUGCAUUCAGCAUGGUCUUUUGGAAACUAAUCAUAUUGGGUCUUUUGUGCCUUUUCCUCAAGUCUGACCUCCACAACUUCCUGCAGGAUUCAGGGCUCAGACAUUCCUCUGCCCACAUUUCUGGUCUCACAUACUCAACACUGAAUUGCUUGCUUAUAGUUUCCAGAACUUGCCCUGCUAGUACAAGCUUUUAUGCCUCUGGACAUGCUGUUGCCGCUACCCUCAGCCCUUCUUCACUCAGUGUCCUUGACUUAACUGUCUUAUUCUUUAUAGAGGAUUUUCUUCAGUCACUUCAGAUCUGUGGGCAUGUGAACACACACUCACACAUGGCUCUGCCCUAAGAAGGGGACCAUGAUUGGUUUAAAAUCUGCCGUUGCUCUCCUGAAAUUUUAAUACUUUCUCUUUUUUCGUCUUUUUUUUUUUUUUUUUGCNNNNNNNNNNNNNUUUUUUUUUUUUUUUUUUUGCCUUUUCUAUGGCCGCUUCCACAGCAUAUGGAGGAUCCCAGGCUAGGGGUCUAAUCGGAGCUGUAGCCACCGGCCUACACCUCAGCCACAGCAGCGCGGGAUCUGAGCCACGUCUGCAACCUACACCACAGCUCAUGGCAACGCCAGAUCCUUAACCCACUGAGCAAGGCCAGGGAUGGAACCCGAAACCUCAUGGUUCCUAGUCAGAUUCAUUAACCACUGAGCCACGACGGGAAAUCCGACACGGCCAUUUCCUGAUUGCAGUGCUCCUCCCUCCUGGAAUACUAUGCCCAUCCAGAGUAUCUGGUAAACCCUUACUCAUUCCUCAAAGUCAGUU